AUACGGAGGAUGCGAGCGUUAUCCGGAUUUAUUGGGUUUAAAGGGUGCGUAGGCGGUUUGUCAAGUCAGCGGUGAAACGCAAGGGCUUAACCCUUGACCUGCCGUUGAAACUGAUUGCCUAGAAUGCGGAUGCUGUGGGAGGAAUGUGUGGUGUAGCGGUGAAAUGCAUAGAUAUCACACAGAACACCGAUUGCGAAGGCAUCUCACAAAUCCGGGAUUGACGCUGAGGCACGAAAGUGUGGGGAUCAAACAGGAUUAGAUACCCUGGUAGUCCACACUGUAAACGAUGAUAACUCGCUGUCGGCGAUACACAGUCGGUGGCCAAGCGAAAGCGAUAAGUUAUCCACCUGGGGAGUACGACCGCAAGGUUGAAACUCAAAGGAAUUGACGGGG
rnacentral:rRNA from 1 species